CGGGACUCUGUGCCGCCUUCACGACAAUUUAGUGUAACGCAAGAUUCAAGCUUCAUGAUCUUGGAGGAUCUUUUUUGGCGUCACGGUUAAUUAAAAGUCCUUAAAUAUGYACAAGUUCUGACAUAUGGUGGUAGUUCAUUAAAUAUGUUUAACGCAGAGUCUUGAAACGUCCCUGAUUCUAGUGGAAUGCAAACUUGUGGGGCUUUGCUUGAAAGUAAUUGCAUUUUCGGUGCGUGUAGCUCUAAUGGGAGGUAUACUGGCCAACGCUGGUUGUAUAUUGCAUUGUGGACGGUUGUUAUCAGAUUAAAUUGAGUUCGCUCUCUUGCUGGUAGCCAGCCAAGCUUCACAACAUCUUCUUCUCUGGCAUAGCGGUUGAUAACGAAACUUGCCGCUGAAGUCGACUGUACUCUUUGGACUUUUUUCUGUAGCACUCGACGAAAAAAUGGAUUUGUCAUGUAGGCAAACAUAUAGACAAAUAUAUGGGCAAAUAUCAUAUUUGACUAAUAGUAGACAAUAUUUACCCAAUGACUGUA